CGCCUUUCGUGCAGACAACACCUUUCGUGUACACAGUGAGCAAGGUCUGUGCAAGACCAGUUAGUCAGCGAAGUCUGUGCUAGACCUUUUGUGAAGACCUCGACUGAGUUCUGUGCUAGACCUUUCAUGAAGACUAUGACUGAGGUCUGUGCAAGACCUGUUAGACAGUGGGAUCUGUGCAAGACCAGUAAGCUCACAUAUAAAGUUAUAAAAUAAGAGGCUGUUAUAUCAACCAACGUGGCUUAUGAAUACAACCCCAUUACAAUUCUUUAAAUCAUCAACUAUUUAACAAAUACUAGACAUAUAUAAUCAGUCUACAACUAAAUAAUAAGUUGCAAAUUCAAC
rnacentral:lncRNA from 1 species